UCCCAGACUCCUACGGGAGGCAGCAGUGAGGAAUAUUGGUCAAUGGGCGCGAGCCUGAACCAGCCAAGUCGCGUGAGAGAUGACGGCCCUACGGGUUGUAAACCUCUUUUGUCGGGGAGCAAAUUCCGCCACGCGUGGCGGAGUCGAGAGUACCCGAAGAAAAAGCAUCGGCUAACUCCGUGCCAGCAGCCGCGGUAAUACGGAGGAUGCGAGCGUUAUCCGGAUUUAUUGGGUUUAAAGGGAGCGUAGAUGGGUUGUUAAGUCAGUUGUGAAAGUUUGCGGCUCAACCGUAAAAUUGCAAUUGAUACUGGCAGCCUUGAGUACAGUUGAGGUAGGCGGAAUUCGUGGUGUAGCGGUGAAAUGCUUAGAUAUCACGAAGAACUCCGAUUGCGAAGGCAGCUUACUAAACUGCCACUGACAUUGAUGCUCGAAAGUGUGGGUAUCAAACAGGAUUAGAUACCCUAGUA
rnacentral:rRNA from 1 species